rnacentral:rRNA from 1 species
UACGGAGGGGGCUAGCGUUGUUCGGAAUUACUGGGCGUAAAGCGCACGUAGGCGGCUUUGUAAGUCGGGGGUGAAAGCCUGUGGCUCAACCACAGAAUUGCCUUCGAUACUGCAUGGCUUGAGACCGGAAGAGGUAAGUGGAACUGCGAGUGUAGAGGUGAAAUUCGUAGAUAUUCGCAAGAACACCAGUGGCGAAGGCGGCUUACUGGUCCGGUUCUGACGCUGAGGCGCGAAAGCGUGGGGAGCAAACAGG